GCCCUUGUAGGUGAACCUGCAGAAGGAUCAUUAACRCGUAUCCACGUUAUAAUAAACUUUAUAAAUCUUUGUGAACUUGUAGACUGUGAACCCUUUUUUAUUACAACAACAACAAACUCCUUUAUUGGAACUAAAAAUUUUUAUUGUCGAAAAUUACAUCUUAUUAUCUCUCAUAAUCUUCAUUAUURUGRGAAAUARUAURAAAAACAAUAUCAUGACCCUUAGCGAAGGAUGUCUUGGUUCCGGCAACGAUGAAGAACGCAGCGAAAUGCGAUACGUAAUGCGAAUUGCAGAAUUCAGUGAAUCAUCAAAUUUUUGAACGCAAAUUGCGCUCCGUAGGUGUCCCCUUGGAGCAUGCCUCCUUCAGUGUCGUGUCUACCAAUCUCAGCGACGUGCUUAUUCGAAAUGAUGAGCACAUGUAGCUGGAAAGUGAGUGUCACUUCAUUGGAGUGUCGCUUGAAGACGACAGGUUGUUGGUUGCAUUUCUUCCUAUUUUUUUCACAACAAAAAUAGAGAAGAGUGCGAUCCGACAGAUUUCACGACUAGCUUUGCAGUUGGUGUGAUGUGGGUAGCCUUAUGGACGAAACAUCUAACCGUAUAUUAAAUUAUAGCUGCUGUAGGCUAGGCACCAAAAAGAGAUCGUCGGAAGCAACGACAAAGAUCAUACAACUGGAAUAUUCUCGAAUCAUUUAUUAAUGAAUGAUGAGAGAUAUUUUCGACUGUUGACCUGAAGUGAGGUGAGAGGACCGGCCGAAUUUAAGCAUAUAAGGGCGAAUUCC
rnacentral:rRNA from 1 species